AAGUCAAAACUGGAGCCUGAACCUACAGAUGAAGCCAAAAAACCCAACGAAGGUUGAAACUUGAAACUUCGGAUCCAGAAUGCACCGGUCUUCGAGCGCCGCUAAGGUCUCCGGCGAUAAUCCACCGCCACAGAAUCAUAGAGCAACUUCCGACGAGACCAGUGGCGAAUUACCUACUUACAAUCCCCAGUCAUACAUAGCAAUCAAAGAGCAAAAUCAGAUUAGAUCUGCUGGGGCGGCUAUUCAUCUCAUCCCUUGUCUGUUGGUUAUUUGUGCUAUCAUCCUCUGGUUCUUCUCAGACUCAGGCCCGAGGAUGCAUUAACUAAAAGUUGCAGGCAGCAUUGUCUUUGCUUAAAGUUUAAACAAGUUGACAGUGAUGUGAUAUGCAUUUCACGAAGUAAACUCCACUCGACUAGCAUGUCUGGUAAUAUGUUCAACCAUGUUUUUAUCGUGAUACUUGAUAGCCAUACUUGUAUAAUCUUGUCAGUUUGUUGAUUCAUACAUACGCGUUCGAAUCCUUGUAUCAUAUGACACAAAAUCAGGCUGUACCAUGAUAUUCAAUAUUCAUUUACUCUUAUACACAUUACCUUCUGUUAAUUCAAUUUUUAUAA